AACCAACUAUCAAAGAAGGGGACAAAGAAUUUCAUCUUAAUUAAUUGAAGGCUGAGCUCAUAGGUGGGACCCAAGAGACUUCCAUUGUUUUAAGAAUUUGAAGUCUUUCCCAUUCUAUUCUUCAUAUUGGUUUUUCCAAAACCAAUUGAUACCCUUUUUGAAAAUCAUUCUGUGAUCACCACCACCACAUCAUCAUCCAUUUUCUCUGAGAAUUCCCACUUUACACCAUGAUUGUAGAGGACCAUGAGAUGCCUAACGGAUGGCCACUUGGACUCGGAAACAUGAACAUAAGACUUCAAGUGACUGAAAACUUACAGCCUGCUGCAGCAGCACCACGCCUUUCACAUUCACCUUCAUCCAGUUUCUCUUCAUUUUCAUCCUCCAACCUUGACACCGAGGCUUGACCAAUUCCCACUCACUAGUAAAUAUGUUGCUUCUAUGCGAGAUCUACCAGUCCACGGCAUCUUUCUUCCCAGACCAUAGCGUGUCAUUGGGCCGGCUAAUUGGAAUUCGAGAAAGGGAAGGGGGAGUCUUGUACUUUCCACACUCAAAUCGCGUUGAACAAGGUGAGAGCGUGACAGAGAGUUCAUGCUUGAAUGUCCCUGGGAAACAAGAAGAAGAAAUGUGUCGGGGAAUUUGUGUUCCUUUAUUCGCUAGCAUACUAGUGAAGAUGAACAGAAGUAAAAGCAGCUCGAGAGGGUGAAUCCUGACAAUGAGGGUAAAUAACAUAUUUGUUCAAGGCAUACCAGGGGAAUAAAAUGUCUGUGACAUGUAUCAAUUCUGUUGCAUAUAUGUUUCUAAAUGGAUGAUUCAUUGUGAUUAAAAUGUUUGUGACAUGUAUCAAUUCUGUUGCAUAUAUGUUUCUAAAUGAAUGAUUCAGUGUGAUUAAA